UACGUAGGUGGCAAGCGUUUAUCCGGAUUUACUGGGUGUAAAGGGCGUGUAGGCGGACUGGCAAGUCGGAUGUUUAAUCCCCGGGCUUAACUCGGGGGGGGUCAUCCGAAACUGCUGGUCUUGAGUACUGGAGAGGAUAGUGGAAUUCCUAGUGUAGCGGUAAAAUGCGUAGAUAUUAGGAGGAACACCAGUGGCGAAGGCGGCUAUCUGGACAGUAACUGACGCUGAGGCGCGAAAGCGUGGGGAGCAAACAGG
rnacentral:rRNA from 1 species